CAAACCCUCGCCCCGAUCGGCUGUGAUGCCGGUCGGGUUGCGGAUGUGGACGCUGCCGUCGUCGGCUCGUCUCGAAAUGCAUUAGCUGGAGCGGUCCUCCGUGUCGGCCUUGGUGUGAUAUGUCUUUGCGCCAUCAUCGGCUCGGUCGCGUCGCCUCGCUUCGAACCCCGUGUUCGCCACACGGAAAACACUUUGUA
rnacentral:misc_RNA from 1 species